CAUUUGAGCGUCUUGAAGAACUCACUGUUCCAAGUCACUAGUAUGGUGCAACACCUGAAUAGAGCCAAUUGUACAUCCCCAGGCAUUUUCAUGCACCUUUUCAUUUCUAUUCUUUUUUUUCUUUUCUUAAUGAUGCACCUUUUGAUGUACAAAAGAAUUUGUGUUGACAGGAUUGUGCCAUUACCUUAAUGGUCUUUCUUGUUUGUGUUUCCUUGGGGGGCAGGCGGAAUCUUAGUUAAGAAAGCAUCAAAUCCUCUCCCAGCAUUUUCUUCUAUAAUUGGUACUAACAAGCUGCACUGAAUAUUUUUUUAAGUGUAUUAAAAAGAUUUGGCAGAGAGUAUUUUUAGGUUUGUGGAUUAACAAGCACUAACCCAUCCUUCUUCCCUCCCCACUUGAUCCUUAAGGAUUUGCCUGAGUCAUGGAUUUCUUACUAGGCUUGUUAACUCUGUUAUUUUUUUAAAGCCACUAGAAUAAAGGAAUCUUUUGCAGAGAGCCAUCAUCAGGAUUUAAGCCAUGAAUAGACUGAACAACCUCCAUGACUCCCCUUGGGGGAGUCACCUUUGACCCCCCCCCCUCAGAUGGUGAAGCUUCUUUAGCCUCCUAAAUGAAGCAAGAUGAGGGCUUAAAACAAGCACUUUUUCUGUCCUUGCAGAUUCACUGAAUCCAGUGACAAGCAAGAUAAAAGAUGAGCUCUGUUGGCAUUUUAUUUUCACAGCUGUUUUUCCACAAAACUGGGGCAGAGGGAGGAAGAGAAGAUAAAGUAGAGAGAAUAUAAAAGGCUACAGAAACUUAUUAGAAGGAAAGUGUAACCCCAAGGCCCAGCACAGCGUUCCUUACUCUGGGGCCUUCCAAUCAGGUUGGACUAUCCCACCUAUAAUUCCCAACCAGCAUGGGAAUUAAGGGAGUUGAAUUCCAACACAUCUGAAGAGCAAUAGAUUGGGAAAGCUGGAUUAACAAAAGCUUGUCUAGCCUUUUUUUAAUCAUUCUAGAAUAAGGUUCCAGACAGGACUUUUCCCUGGCACAACACAUAAAACAACCACGGAGCCCAGAAUGAAAAGGCAGCAAAUUAAAGACUUUGGUCUUAAUGCUUUUCAGUGGGAUCAUAGAAAGCUGCCUUUUACCAAGACCACUACUGUUGACUGUGGCUUGCCAGGUUUUCAGGCAGGAUCUUUUGCCAGCUGUACCAUUAAUUCUUUGCAGGCAAAGCAUGUGAGAGAUACAGUCUGAUGCUGUGAUUCCUUGUCGUCACUGCCAGUCCGCUGAUUAGACCAGAACUCACUCAUCACCUCAGCUUCCACCUCCUACAUUCACCACCAAUCACUACAAAUUUUGUAGAAAUGGAUGAGAAGAAUGCACAUGAUGAAACAGGCAGCAAGAAAUUGCAUCAAGGAGGCCACUAGCUAAGAAGGAAGAUUAUGAAAAGCGGUUGUUGUGUAGAUUAAGGAAAGGCUUUUUUCUUCCUUUAGGGGAAGUCAGCAAAUUGCAUGAUGAUGUCUAAUGCUUUAUCCAAGCAAUCAUCUCUGAAAUCCCCUUGUCAUGCAAAGCAGUCAACUGUCUCCUCCAUCAGUUCUGUCAAUCGCUGGGUGAAUGGACUUCAAAAAUGCCCCCAUUAUGCAUCAAGAGGCUUUUCAAGUGUAAGCAAGGAGGAGAGGAAGAAUGCUUUCCCAUUGUAGCUGGGAAGAGGCCAAAUAGCCUGAGCAGCUCAGGCAGUUAAUACGUAUUGACUCAUCAAUGAAAUGAAUGUAAUAACUCAUUAAAAUUGGAGUAAAAAAGGAUGCACUUUUAAGAAGAAUCUUCAGUGUCACACCUGGGCACUUUUUUUUAAAAUGUCCAAGCCAUUGAGACAAAGAAGCUGUGAGCAUUAUUUGAUCCAGAGAUCUAUCUAAAAUACUUUCCAAUGUUCUGGAAUCUGUUGCAGUUCGUUUUCUAUAAUGACAGUCAAGCUAGUCUAUUGUAGGAAAGGAGUAGUCUUGUGGCACCUAAAACAUACAUGUAUGUGUUAUAAGUUUUCAUGGACGAAUCUACAAAAGUUUAUGACAUAAUAAAAUAGUUUGAAUUUCA